rnacentral:rRNA from 1 species
AUACGUAGGUGGCAAGCGUUGUCCGGAAUUAUUGGGCGUAAAGCGCAUGUAGGCGGUUUGGUAAGUCGGUCGUGAAAAUGCGGUGCUUAACGCCGUAUGGCGAUUGAAACUGCUGAACUUGAGUGCAGGAGAGGAAAGGGGAACUCCCAGUGUAGCGGUGAAAUGCGUAGAUAUUGGGAAGAACACCGGUGGCGAAGGCGCCGUUCUGGACUGUGUCUGACGCUCAGAGGCGAAAGCCAGGGUAGCGAACGGGAUUAGAUACCCCGGUAGUCCUGGCUGUAAACGAUGGGUACUAGGUGUGGGAGGUAUCGACUCCUUCCGUGCCGGAGUUAACGCAUUAAGUAAUCCACCUGGGGAGUACGGCCGCAGGGUUAAAACUCAAAGGAAUUGACGGGG